GUACAAGGAUCUCUUCACGUCUUGUCUACAAGUGAACACUUAGUCUCAACCACCAGAAAAUACAAGCAGCAUACAACUAAAAGUGAAUAUAAAUUUUCAAGGUCUAGCAAGUGGUAAAGCAGCCUCAGUCCACAUAACUGCUUCAACAGAAAUAAUAUAGUAAUUUUGAAUUUGAAUAAAUAAAAAUUAGAAUCUUAAAAAGCAUUAAAGAGGGGUUGCA
rnacentral:misc_RNA from 1 species